CAGGAAUGACACACCUCUGGAGCUCACAGCAGCAGUUUCUUGAUCGUGGUGGUUUCCUGAUGAUGGCAAUACCAACACAGUUCUGGAACCAGGAGCCUCUUGAUCACAUAAGAGGCAGCAGCUGCCCUGAUAGCCAGGUUCCAUGGGGCUCUUCCACCUUUGCUGCUGGGCACUUCUCCUUGCCUUGUGAAGAAAGUGCCUGCUUCCCCUUCUGCCAUGAUUUUAAGUUUCCUGAGGCCUUCCCAACCAUGCAGAACUCAACAUGGUUGCAGCUGGAGGCCGUUAUCCUAAGAGAAUUGACACAGAAACAGAAAAUCAAAUACUGUAUGUUCUCACUUUUGUAAGUGGAAGCUAAACAUUGAGAAUACAAGGACAUAAAGAUGGAAACAAUAGAGUUAGAAAAAAUGAAUAAGACUUACUAUUUGAUAACACAACAGGGCAACUAUAGUCAAUAAUAAUUGUACAUUUUAAAAUAACUAAGAGUAUAAUUGGAUUAUUUGUAAUACAAAGAGUAAAUACUUAAGGUGAUGGAUAUUACAUUUAGUCUGAUGUGAUUAUUAUUCAUUGCAUGCCUUUAUCAAAAUAUCUCAUGUAACCUGUAAAUAUAUACACCUACUAUGUACUCACAAAAAUUAAAAAUAAAAUUUUUUAAAAAGAUGGAAACAAUAGACAGUGGGUACUAUUAGAGGAGGGAGGGCGUAAGGGAAGCAAAUGUUGAAAAACUACCUAUUGGGAGCUAUGCCCACUACCUGGGUGAUGGGAUCAUUUGUAUCUCAAGACCCCAAGACACAAUUUACCCAUAGAACAAAGCUGUGCAUGUAUCCCCUGACCUAAAAUAAAA